rnacentral:rRNA from 1 species
GAUGAACGCUGGCGGCGUGCCUAAUACAUGCAAGUCGAGCGAACAGACGAGGAGCUUGCUCCUUCGACGUUAGCGGCGGACGGGUGAGUAACACUUAGGUAACCUACCUAUAAGACUUGGAUAACUUCGGGAAACCGGAGCUAAUACCGGAUAAUAUUUCGAACCGCAUGGUUCGAUAGUUAAAGAUGGCUUUGCUAUCACUUAUAUAUGGACCUGCGCCGUAUUAGCUAGUUGGUAAGGUAACGGCUUACCAAGGCAACGAUACGUAGCCGACCUGAGAGGGUGAUCGGACACACUGGAACUGAGACACGGUCCAGACUCCUACGGGAGGCAGGAGUAGGGAAUCUUCCGCAAUGGGCGAAAGCCUGACGGAGCAACGCCGCGUGAGUGAUGAAGGUCUUCGGAUCGUAAAACUCUGUUAUUAGGGAAGAACAAACGUGUAAGUAACUGUGCACGUCUUGACGGUACCUAAUCAGAAAGCCAGGGCUAACUCCGUG